GAGAUAUAUACUGUCUCAUAUAUAUAGAAUGAAUUUAAAUUUUUAGUAAAAAUGCUUAAAUAGUUUUAUGGGACGAUAAGACCCUAUAGAAUUUUAUAUUAAAAUUUUAUUAAUUAUUUAAUUAAAAUUUUAAUAUUUAGUUGGGAGGAUUAGUAAAUAAAAUUAACUUUAUUUUAAAAAUAAACUUUGAUUUAAGAAUAAAGUUUUGAUCUUAUACUAUAAAUUAAAAGAAUAAAUUACCUUAGGGAUAACAGCGUAAUAUCUUUUUAAAGAUCAUAUUAAUAAAGAUGUUUGCGACCUCGAUGUUGAAUUAAGAUAAAUUUUAAAUGAAGAAAUUUAAAAAUUAAGUCUGUUCGACUUUUAAAAUCUUACAUGA
rnacentral:rRNA from 1 species